rnacentral:lncRNA from 1 species
ACCAAUGUAUUGGCUAACUCGCUUGAUCGUGUGAGAGAAUGUGGUUUGCCUUCGCAUGUCUUGGCACACACAUGUUCUGUGGCUGAAGUGGUUGUGCCCUAAACCUCUUUUCUCUCUGAUUGUAACCUCCUUGAAAGUAGCUAUAUCACCAACUUCUUUCUUUAAAAUCGUUAAUUUUAAUAUAUAAAUUGGCUAAUAGGGACGAAUUGUCUUUUUACUUCAGAGUUGAAGUCAGUUUUUAGGACUAAAACGAUCAAAUAGUCUCAGCCAAAAAAAAAUCGACUGCACUAGACUCAACUAUCUAUCUUUAAUUCAGCCCACCCUUACUUCGAUCACGAGUCGUUCUUGACUAACAACUUAAGAUAGUAUCUUUUUGUUGUUUAACUCUAAAGGAUAAUAAAAUAUAAUAUGGUUUAUCUUUUGAUUUAGGUAAAUACUCGAACAAACUAUAGCAUGGAAAGCAAAAGAGCAUCUUAAGAAAUCUACCUCUUUAUAAAGGAAUUAAUUGAUAAUACCUAAUGCAAAAGUAGGGCCAAAGAUAAUGAAAUUAAAUAAAGAAGAGAACCCUAAUACGUUUGGUAAAGAAAACAGGCGUAAUAUGACGGGUUUUCUUCACAACCACCUCAUACAAGUCACAACUAACAUAAUCAAUAGAAGAUAUAAAACUGAUUGGGCAAAAAUACAAAAACAAAAGCAUGUGACUCUAUCCACUAAUCACUAAGAACUAUUUUAAUAAAGGUCACAUAUGUGGUCCUUGGCUUCCAUUUGGCAUGUUCAUAUGCCAUUGUUUGUCAACCAAAUACACCAAAGACAGAGAAAACAACCAAAGCUAAAUACAAAAUGAGAGCAUCCUCACCUGAUUCCACCAACCUGGCCAAUUUAUGCCGUUUAAUUACAUUUAAUUACCAGACAUUGUUUAAUUUUGAUUAUGUGCUUGUAGGGACAAAUAGGUCUCAAACCACAUGGGAACAGUUUCUUUAAUUACUACCUAUUUUAGUGUAAGAUUAAUUGAAAUUGAAAUUGAAA